rnacentral:rRNA from 1 species
GAUGAACGCUGGCGGCGUGCCUAAUACAUGCAAGUCGAGCGAACGGACGAGAAGCUUGCUUUUCUGAUGUUAGCGGCGGACGGGUGAGUAACACGUGGAUAACCUACCUAUAAGACUGGGAUAACUUCGGGAAACCGGAGCUAAUACCGGAUAAUAUUUUGAACCGCAUGGUUCAAAAGUGAAAGACGGUCUUGCUGCCACUUAUAGAUGGAUCCGCGCUGCAUUAGCUAGUUGGUAAGGUAACGGCUUACCAAGGCAACGAUGCAUAGCCGACCUGAGAGGGUGAUCGGCCACACUGGAACUGAGACACGGUCCAGACUCCUACGGGAGGCAGCAGUAGGGAAUCUUCCGCAAUGGGCGAAAGCCUGACGGAGCAACGUCGCGUGAGUGAUGAAGGUCUUCGGAUCGUAAAACUCUGUUAUUAGGGAAGAACAUAUGUGUAAGUAACUGUGCACAUCUUGACGGUACCUAAUCAGAAAGCCACGGCUAACUACGUG